CUGGGGAGAAGCUGGCUGCGCGAGACUUAUACCGCUUUAUGUGUACACGUUUCUGGCAGAAGUGGAGCAGUAGAGUCCCGGAUCUAAUCUCGGACAUUUCCUAAUCUCGGUCACUCGUUCUCUGCCGAAGAGCUGCAGCCAGACCUAGCUGCUACGCUAGCGUCAUAGCCCUACUGGAUAGCAACUAGGUAGAGCGGGUCACGUCAGCAUCCGUCAUAACGUUGCUGCUGUAGAACUUGAAAACUGAUCGCACCUAUUCUCGGGCACAGAGUAUCAUAUCUCGGUCAGUGCUUGCCAUCUCGUUUCUACAACUCCGUUUGAGACGCAAGUCAUCUCUGUCGAUACGCUCAUUAUAUGACUUCCUUUCGCCAAAUUGUUGGUUUUGUCUUGUCAACCUCUACUCUUGCAGACAACGAAGAAGACGGAUGACUCACGGGACAUAAUCUCGGUCACCUGAUCUCGAGUGAUUUUCUCUCUUCAGACGCAGAUCUGAGGCGUUCUUUUGACUAACGUUAUAGUCAUCACCUCUGGCUACUAUACCUACGGGGUGAUGUUAGUGCUCAUCGUACUGUUGCUACGGCAGAACGUGAAAUGUGAGAGACAAAUACUCGGACAUCCGGGAUCAUAUCUCGGUCAGUCGCUUUCAUCGCGUUUCUACAAGACGAAUUGAGACGUUAAUCAUGUCUGUUGAAAGGGCGGUGAGAAAAGUGGUGGCGUACGGGACAUAAUCUCGGUCAGGCGAUUUUGAGAAAGACGGGUUCCUGAGUAGGUUAUAUUGUGCGAUUUUUAGUCUACUGUUGUUCUAGAGCUAUAUUGUCAAGAAUGUGUCUGUCUAACUUACUAUUUUUAGCACUUCAAACAUACAACGUGAUGACUAUGAAUUUUCA